rnacentral:rRNA from 1 species
UGGGGAAUAUUGCACAAUGGGGGGAAACCCGUACGAUGCAGCGACGCCGCGUGAAGGAAGAAGUAUCUCGGUAUGUAAACUUCUAUCAGCAGGGAAGAUAGUGACGGUACCUGACUAAGAAGCCCCGGCUAACUACGUGCCAGCAGCCGCGGUAAUACGUAGGGGGGCAAGCGUUAUCCGGAUUUACUGGGUGUAAAGGGAGCGUAGACGGUGUGGCAAGUCUGAUGUGAAAGGCAUGGGGCUCAACCUGUGGACUGCAUUGGAACUGUCAUACUUGAGUGCCGGAGGGGUAAGCGGAAUUCGUGGUGUAGCGGUGAAAUGCUUAGAUAUCACGAAGAACUCCGAUUGCGAAGGCAGCCAUCUGGGGUAUUACUGACGCUGAGGCUCGAAAGUGCGGGU